UACGGGGGGGGCAAGCGUUGUUCGGAAUUACUGGGCGUAAAGGGCUCGUAGGCGGCCAACUAAGUCAGACGUGAAAUCCCUCGGCUUAACCGGGGAACUGCGUCUGAUACUGGAUGGCUUGAGUUUGGGAGAGGGAUGCGGAAUUCCAGGUGUAGCGGUGAAAUGCGUAGAUAUCUGGAGGAACACCGGUGGCGAAGGCGGCGUUCUGGACUGCAACUGACACUGAUGAACGAAAGCCAGGGGAGCAAACGGG
rnacentral:rRNA from 1 species